rnacentral:miRNA from 1 species
CUUUUAAAAUUGGUUCUUAAAUAGCCGAUUUUAAAAGUGUUACUUUUAACAUCGGCUAUCUAAGACCGAUUUUGUAUG